UAUCGACACACUGACCUUAUGAAUAGUUGCAAGAAAAUCACUGUAACGCAAAAACACUAUGAAGCUUCUCUGCAUAUUAAUAACGCUUGCCUUUGUGAACGUUUCGCCGAUAAUGACAGCGCCAUAUGCAAAUUCGGUUUACCUUACAA